rnacentral:tRNA from 2 species
UCUGUAGCUCAGCAGGAUAGAGCAACGGCCUUCUAAGCCGUGGGUCGGGGGUUCGAAUCCCUUCAGG